UUGGUCUAACGGCUAGGAUACAUGACUGUCUAUCAUGGGGUACGGGUUCGAUUCCCGCUCCCGCAA
rnacentral:tRNA from 1 species